GUUUCCAGAGUGCUGCUUUUGGGUCCUAAUCACACCCGUCACAAAUAUAUCCACACCAUCAUUAAUGCAGGCUUAAUCAAAACACCGCCUCGGUUGCAGUAUAUAGCCAUUGUCACAGCCUAGCUUAGAGGAGAAAUUGAGAAAUAAGAUAAAUUUUGGAACCCACACAUGAUGUGUAUAUUAAAUGUAUAGUGAUGGGCAAAGAACAAAGAUAGUGAGUUAAUUAUGUAAUCAAUUUGUCACUAAUGUGUGUAGUGUAUGGAUGGGUGUUAGUAUAGGCACGCAAAAUGUAUGCUAACCAAACCCCAAAUCAGCCCAAUCAGGUAAUCAGGACAUGAGAGUGAAUGGCAGCUUACUCCGGGUGGAAACAAUCAUGGGUAACAGUCACUCCCUGGACCUGUUUCCUGUUUAGGUCCGGUUCCUAGGAUUCGGAGGGCUAGGAGCUGUCACAGCAUUGAUAACCAGAAAUGGAGAUCAAGAGCAGUCUAUAUAAAAACAUAUCUAUCAUUUAACUUUAGUUACUUUUUGAAGGAGUUAUUAUGGCAGUUAAUUACUUACAUAAUCAAGAAAUUAUGAAUAUAUUGUAGGUAUUUGUAUUGAUACAUUUGGUGAGAAAGUAAAACUGUGCUCAUAAAUUUACAUACCCUGGCAGAAUUUGUGAUUUGUGAUUUUUCUUUUUGGCCAUUUGUCAGAGACUAUGAAUAAUAACACAAAACCUUUUUUCUCCACACAAAGUAGUGGAGGAAGCCAUUUAUUGUCAAAUACCUGUGGUCACUCCUUUUAAAUCAUAACAACAGAAACUACCCAAAUGACGCUGAUCAAAAGUUUACCUACUGUGGGUAUUUUGGACUGAUAACAUGCACACAUCUUAACCUGUGAUCUGUUUUCUUGCAUUCAAUGUGUGUGUGUUUUGUGUGUUGCUGUGAGUUCCUGACAGAUCCUCUUUCAUCCGGUGCAGCACUGAUGUUUCUGGAUUCUGAAUCAGGGGGGAGCAAAACAUCUGUCAAAAGAUCUGCAAAAAAGGGGGGCGUGAAGGAACAGAUCAUCAUCCACAGAUGGCACUGCAGGUGGACGAACCUGCCGACAAUCUUCCAUCAACCGUUUCCAUUUAGGGACAGGGUGCCCGUCUGCCAGCGUUGGAUUGUUUCGUUCUCGUCACGUUGAGGUCUCCACGCCUGCCUCCGGACGCGAACCGCGUGCCGAACCAUUCGCCCGCACUAGAUCUGCGCUGGAGCUCUCGGUGCGUCCUGGAGGACCGAGCAAGAGAUUUGCUGGACAACCCAAGAGCCUUGUUCACUUUGUAUAUUCAAAUAAAGACACUUUUCAGACACUAUUCCCCACUGCAUGUUGCCUGCUUUCGGAUCCUGGGACAACCAUCCCUAACAAUUAGCCUAUUUUCAAAAUGAUAAGUAGGUUACGAAUACAUAUUGACCAUUUAUGAUUAAAUGUAAUUUUCCCCCGCAGCGCAUCCUGGAUGACGCACCAUGUGACUACUCUGCUGUACGAUGGUGCUUAAAGUUUAACUUCCAUUAUAAUGAGAAAUUAAAUAUUUAAACACAUUUUUACAUCACUGGAAAACUUUAAGAAUGUCAUGUUUUUCCUACUACAGAAAUUAUAUUAAAACAAAAAAUCUAUUCAUACUAUCUUUUUUCCAUUUUAAUUUUUUUGAAAAAGCUCCAGGGAGCCACUAG
rnacentral:lncRNA from 1 species